rnacentral:tRNA from 1 species
GCUCUCAUAGUUCAAUGGAUAGAACGGUUCCGUCCUAAGGAAUAGAUGUAGGUUCGAUUCCUACUGAGAGCA